rnacentral:rRNA from 1 species
CCUACGGGUGACAGCAGUGAGGAAUAUUGGUCAAUGGGCGGGAGCCUGAACCAGCCAAGCCGCGUGAAGGAAGAAGGCGCCAAGCGUCGUAAACUUCUUUUGUCGGGGAACAAAGGGCGCCACGUGUGGCGUUGUGAGUGUACACGAAGAAACAGCAUCGGCUAACUCCGUGCAAGCAGCCGCGGUAAUACGUAGGAUGCGAGCGUUAUCCGGAUUUAUUGGUGUUAAGGGGUGCGUAGGCGGUCCGGAAAGUCAGCGGUAAAAGCCCGGGGCCAAACCCCGGCGAGCCGUUGAAACUGUCGGACUAGAGACGGCGAGAAGUACGCGGAAUGCGCGGUGUAGCGGUGAAAUGCAUAGAUAUCGCGCAGAACUCCGAUUGCGAAGGCAGCGUACCGGCGCCGGACUGACGCUGAGGCACGAAAGCGUGGGUAUCAAACAGGAUUAGAUACCCGAGUAGUC